CUCUCCGUAGCUCAGUUGGCAGAGCAGCUGACUCUUAAUCAGCGGGUCGAAGGUUCCAGCCCUUCCGGGGAGA
rnacentral:tRNA from 1 species